UCUGGGACAAGCCCUGGAAACGGGGUCUAAUACCGGAUAACACACGGUUCCGCAUGGGACGGUGUUGAAAGCUCCGGCGGUGAAGGAUGAGCCCGCGGCCUAUCAGCUUGUUGGUGGGGUAAUGGCCUACCAAGGCGACGACGGGUAGCCGGCCUGAGAGGGCGACCGGCCACACUGGGACUGAGACACGGCCCAGACUCCUACGGGAGGCAGCAGUGGGGAAUAUUGCACAAUGGGCGAAAGCCUGAUGCAGCGACGCCGCGUGAGGGAUGACGGCCUUCGGGUUGUAAACCUCUUUCAGCAGGGAAGAAGCGAAAGUGACGGUACCUGCAGAAGAAGCGCCGGCUAACUACGUGCCAGCAGCCGCGGUAAUACGUAGGGCGCAAGCGUUGUCCGGAAUUAUUGGGCGUAAAGAGCUCGUAGGCGGCUUGUCACGUCGGAUGUGAAAGCCCGGGGCUUAACCCCGGGUCUGCAUUCGAUACGGGCUAGCUAGAGUGUGGUAGGGGAGAUCGGAAUUCCUGGUGUAGCGGUGAAAUGCGCAGAUAUCAGGAGGAACACCGGUGGCGAAGGCGGAUCUCUGGGCCAUUACUGACGCUGAGGAGCGAAAGCGUGGGGAGCGAACAGGAUUAGAUACCCUGGUAGUCCACGCCGUAAACGUUGGGAACUAGGUGUUGGCGACAUUCCACGUCGUCGGUGCCGCAGCUAACGCAUUAAGUUCCCCGCCUGGGGAGUACGGCCGCAAGGCUAAAACUCAAAGGAAU
rnacentral:rRNA from 1 species